rnacentral:lncRNA from 10 species
AAGGGAAUGACGGGCGGGCAGGCCUGCAGACCAUUGUAAGGACCCUGGAGUCCGAUCCGAAGGGGAGAUGCUCCAGGAAAUGUGGCUUUACCUCUGGGCGCCUCAGUAUCCUCUUCUGAGAAACAUGCAACAUGACACCUGCGUCUGAAGGUCUCUGUGAGGACUCAGGGAGCUCCUGCCUCCACAGGCAGGAGGCAGCCGCACAGAGCUGUGCCCUGAAACCCUCUGCCCUGCUGAAGAAUGGAGAGGACUCCCCCACCAGCACCUCCACCUAGGACACAUGGGAACUGUGGGACUUGGAGCAAAGUUUUCAAGUCUCUGUGCCUUAGUUUCCUCACCUGUAAGUUGGGGGAAUGAUAGUAACUGCUCUUAAGAGCUGCUGUAGGAAUUGAGAUCUUGCAUGAAAAAGGAUAAAACCAAUUGAUAUGGUUUAGUUCUUAGUCCCCACCCAAAUCUCAUGUCCAGUUAUGAUCCUCAGUGUAGGAGGAGGGACCUCGUGGGAGGUGAUUGGAUCGUGGGGGCAGUUUCUAAUGUUUUAGCACCAUCCUCCUAGUGCUGCUUGUUUAAAAGUGUGUAGCACCCCACCUUCCUCUCCUGCCGGCCAUGUGAAGACGUGCUUGCUUCCCUUUCACCAUCUGCCAUGAUUGUAAGUUUCCUGAGGUCUCCCCAGAAGCAGAAGCCUGUAU